rnacentral:rRNA from 1 species
AAUACAUGCAAGUCGAGCGAAGUUUUAAAAGCUUGCUUUUGAAACUUAGCGGCGGACGGGUGAGUAACACGUGGGCAACCUGCCCUGUAGACUGGGAUAACUUCGGGAAACCGAAGCUAAUACCGGAUAAUCUUUGGAGCUUCAUGGCUCUAAAGUAAAAGUUGGGUUUACCUAACACUACAGGAUGGGCCCGCGUCGCAUUAGCUAGUUGGUAAGGUAACGGCUUACCAAGGCGACGAUGCGUAGCCGACCUGAGAGGGUGAUCGGCCACACUGGGACUGAGACACGGCCCAGACUCCUACGGGAGGCAGCAGUAGGGAAUCUUCCGCAAUGGACGAAAGUCUGACGGAGCAACGCCGCGUGAACGAUGAAGGCCUUCGGGUCGUAAAGUUCUGUUGUUAGGGAAGAACAAGUACCGUUCAAAUAGGGCGGUACCUUGACGGUACCUAACGAGAAAGCCACGGCUAACUACGUGCCAGCAGCCGCGGUAAUACGUAGGUGGCAAGCGUUGUUCGGAAUUAUUGGGCGUAAAGCGCGCGCAGGCGGUCUCUUAAGUCUGAUGUGAAAGCCCCCGGCUCAACCGGGGAGGGUCAUUGGAAACUGGGAGACUUGAGUGCAGAAGAGGAGAGUGGAAUUCCAUGUGUAGCGGUGAAAUGCGUAGAUAUAUGGAGGAACACCAGUGGCGAAGGCGACUCUCUGGUCUGUAACUGACGCUGAGCGCCAAAGCGUGGGGAGCAAACAGGAUUAAAUACCUGGUUAGUCCCGCCGUAAACGAUGAGUGCUAGUGUAAGGGGUUC